CAACUGCGUGCUUUGAUGCUGAAUAUGGAUGUGGGACUCCACCAUAAGUCAAUGAAGCAACACUUGAAGUGAACAAGAUGCAGCCUUUCUUUUCUGGGAUCAUUACUCUUGCUGCGUGUUUGGCUCCCAAGAAUCCUCCAUACACAUUUAUGUCAAAAACUUUCUUGAACUCUUCAUCAUCAAAUGAUGAUAUGGUUGUAUUGUAUUUCCCUGUUAUUCCCGCAUUGUUGUACAUUAUGUCUAGCUUUCCAUGGAGUGAAAUUGCUGUGUUAACUGCGUUUUCAACGUCAGGUUCCUUGGUCACAUCACAUUGGAG
rnacentral:misc_RNA from 1 species